AUUGAACGCUGGCGGCAUGCUUUACACAUGCAAGUCGAACGGUAACAGGCCGCAAGGUGCUGACGAGUGGCGAACGGGUGAGUAAUGCAUCGGAACGUGCCCAGUCGUGGGGGAUAACGCAGCGAAAGCUGCGCUAAUACCGCAUACGAUCUAUGGAUGAAAGCGGGGGACCGUAAGGCCUCGCGCGAUUGGAGCGGCCGAUGUCAGAUUAGGUAGUUGGUGGGGUAAAGGCUCACCAAGCCAACGAUCUGUAGCUGGUCUGAGAGGACGACCAGCCACACUGGGACUGAGACACGGCCCAGACUCCUACGGGAGGCAGCAGUGGGGAAUUUUGGACAUUGGGCGCAAGCCUGAUCCAGCAAUGCCGCGUGCAGGAAGAAGGCCUUCGGGUUGUAAACUGCUUUUGUACGGAACGAAACGGUUCGGGUUAAUACCCUGGGCUAAUGACGGUACCGUAAGAAUAAGCACCGGCUAACUACGUGCCAGCAGCCGCCGUAACAC
rnacentral:rRNA from 1 species